AGAGAGAGACAUGCGCGCAUAUCAAUAAGCGGAGGAAAAGAAACUAACAAGGAUUCCCCUAGUAACGGCGAGUGAAGCGGGAAGAGCUCAAAUUUGAAAUCUUAAAGGGUUUCCCUUUACGAAUUGUAGUUUAAAGAAGUGUUUUCUGUCGAGGUUUUGGUAAAAGUUCUUUGGAAUAGGACAUCAUAGAGGGUGAGAAUCCCGUAUUUGACCUUUACUUUCAACUUUGUGAUACACUUUCAAAGAGUCGGAUUGUUUGGGAAUGCAGUCCAAAAUGGGUGGUAAAUUUCAUCUAAAGCUAAAUAUUGGCGAGAGACCGAUAGCGAACAAGUACCGUGAGGGAAAGAUGAAAAGAACUUUGAAAAGAGAGUUAAACAGUACGUGAAAUUGUCAAAAGGGAAGCGUUUGACACCAGUGUUGUUUUUCUGAAAAUCAAUUAAAGAACUGUUUAUGCUAAGCUGUUUAGACUUUAUCAGCUAUCUGUUUAGUUUUGAGCUUUUCUUUAAUGCACUUUUCAGUUAACAAGUCAACAUCAAUUUCUUUUGCUGUAAAAAAGCUUGAGGAAGGUGGCUUGAGAUUCGUCUUAAGUGUUUAUAGCCUCUUGCCUAUGCAGUCGGAGAGAUUGAGGUCUGCAGCGUAGAUCCUUCGGGGCUAAAUGCAUUUGUGCUAAGUUAUAGCAUUUUAUAGACAACUUGUUGACUAUGAUUUGUCUUGUAGCUUACUCGCUUAUGUUAUUUUACCUACGCUUAGGAUGUUGACGCAUGAGAUAUACGC
rnacentral:rRNA from 1 species